UUCCCCCAGUAAUGGCGAAUGAAGUGGGAACAGCUCAAAUUUGAAAUCUGCGUCGCUUGCGACGUCGAAUUGUAGUUUCUAGAAGCAUCUUCCAGGCGGAUCCGGCGUCGUCCAAGUUGCUUGGAACAGCACGUCAUAGAGGGUGACAACCCCGUCUGUGGCGGUGCCGGCCGCUGGCGAUGUGCUUUCGAAGAGUCGGGUUGUUUGGGAAUGCAGCCCAAAAUGGGUGGUAAACUCCAUCUAAAGCUAAAUAUCGGCACGAGACCGAUAGCGAACAAGUACCGUGAGGGAAAGAUGAAAAGCACUUUGAAAAGAGAGUUAAAAAGUACGUGAAACCGUUGAAAGGGAAACGGAUGGGGUUAGCAAUGCGCCUCGCGAGAUUCAGCCGGGCCUCGCUUCGGGCGGGCGGUUUUUGCGGAUCUGAAUGGACCGCGGCCGUCCGGUUCGGAGCGUCGACCGUCGCACUUCUCGCGGGCGCGUGCCAACGUCGGUUGUCUUCGUGUCUCAAAGGGCUCGGGAAGGUAGGUUCUCUCUCUCGGGAGAGAUCUGUUAUAGACCGGGUCCGCAUGGCUCGAGGGCGACCGAGGAGUCGCGGUGCGUGCCUUUUAUGGCUAGGGUCCCGUCGGACCGGCCGGUUGUCGACUGUGGCGGACUGCGUGCAGUGCGUCGCGACUGCUGCCGGUCGCUCCGGUGGUGAUCUCAUACUCACGCGCCAAGGACGUUGGCGAUCACAUGGCCUCAUUCGACCCGUCUUGAAACACGGACCAAGGAGUCUAACAUGUGCGCGAGUCUUUGAGUGAAGGAAACUCGCCGGCGCAAUGAAAGUGAAGACGGCCUCGUCGUCGUCGAGGUGAGAGGUCGUCCCUCGGGGCGGCUGCAUCAUCGACCGACCUAUUCUGCUCUCAGGAAGGUUUGAGUAAGAGCGCAUU
rnacentral:rRNA from 1 species